GACGAACGCUGGCGGCGUGCUUAACACAUGCCAGUCGAACGGAAAGGCCCUGCUUUUGUGGGGUGCUCGAGUGGCGAACGGGUGAGUAACACGUGAGUAACCUGCCCUUGACUUUGGGAUAACUUCAGGAAACUGGGGCUAAUACCGGAUAGGAACUCCUGCUGCAUGGUGGGGGUUGGAAAGUUUCGGCGGUUGGGGAUGGACUCGCGGCUUAUCAGCUUGUUGGUGGGGUAGUGGCUUACCAAGGCUUUGACGGGUAGCCGGCCUGAGAGGGUGACCGGCCACAUUGGGACUGAGAUACGGCCCAGACUCCUACGGGAGGCAGCAGUGGGGAAUAUUGCACAAUGGGCGGAAGCCUGAUGCAGCAACGCCGCGUGCGGGAUGACGGCCUUCGGGUUGUAAACCGCUUUCGCCUGUGACGAAGCGUGAGUGACGGUAAUGGGUAAAGAAGCACCGGCUAACUACGUG
rnacentral:rRNA from 1 species